AACAAUAAUGACUGAAUUUGCUGUCUUAAACUUGAGGGUUUGAUGUAUGAGCCAAAUUGAGUAAUAAGGAAACUACAGAAAACCCUUAAUUAAAGCACAAGCUUUAUUGCAGAUAACUUCAGCAAACGCACUAAAAACCUCUUAAGAGACUUUCUGAGCAAAAUUUUCAAAAGCGCUUAAAUCUUAUCUGUUGGUUUUUACGCUUGCCAACAUAACAUCCUGUAAAAAGGAAAACAGCAGCCAGUUGCUUACGUACAAAGUGGGAAGCACUGUUUAUGACAGUCUUCUGCUGGUUUUUGCUGGCUUUUAUUUGUGUUGCAUAGUAUCUUAACCUGUCCCAGGUAACAUCUUAAGUCUUAAUUGUUUUAAGAGUAAUGCACAGCUGGCACCUUUUAUUACGUUAAUGUCAGGCCAUUACAAAAAAGCAUAUCCCUUUUAGCUUUGUAAUGACAGCCACUCAUGCUAGGAUUGAACAAUUUACGCAUAUCAAAUGCCACAUAUCCGUUUUGGAUGUUAUGUCAGACCUUAUUUUGACUAUUGGGGAUUUCAAAAUGACAAUGCUUUUCUCAUUCUGGCUGUUUAAACAUGAGAGAUAACCUACCACAAUAUGGAUUCUGUUUUUGGGAUGAUGUUUACGGUUUUGUUUUUGUUUUUUAAAUGAUGGAUUUAUCUUGAUUAGUCAGGAUUUCAUGGCUUUAAAACCCAAUUUGUAAUUCUUAGUGGAUGGGGUCUUGGUUAUAUCAACAAUGUGCUGCAAUUUCUCACAAUCUACUGUGAAAAUGUACAUACUUUUGCUUAAUACAUUCCCAUAACGCCCUGUUACCCUUUGAGCCAGGACUGGGUAAUAAUAGAUGAGCAUUCAUAUCAUGGCAACCAUUAUUGUGGCAUAACAUACCGACAUGAAUUUUAAAGGCCUUCCAGAAGUCACCAUUGUCAGUCCAGAGAAUAUUUAAAGAAAACUACUUUUAAUCCUUCCUGUACAGGUGCCCAGAGUGCCUUCAACCUAUUACAUACUGAAUUUAAUUUCAUAUACUGGUCAUAUUUCCCUCUCUCUGUAAAACAUCACUCAGUUAACUUUGAUUAGAAGCACAUUUCUUUUAAUUUCAUUUGGUUAAAGUGAAAUGGUUGUAGUGAUGUGCUUGUGUUGGUCUAGUCCUGUCCGUAUUUACUAAAUCUAGUUAUCUGCUGUGAAGUUAAAGAGCCCCUUUAGAGUAGGCUAUAUUUUAAGGAGGUAAGGAGUUGCCUUGAGUUUUUUAAUACUCUGAACAAAAGUAUAUCUUAGUGAUUGCACAGAAUUGGUCUGUAAAAAGAAAAAAAGGAGUUGUUCAUUAUAACGUGCUUUAAAUGAAUUCAUUGGUUUAUCAGAGCACUCUGUGCCACCAAAAUAUUAAGUGUGUGAAAAUUGUGGCGAAAAAUUAAUUUUUUGGAUUGACAUUAAUUGGGAAAAAAAGUUCUGGAAGUUUAGGAAGUCAUGGUUUCCUGUCUUUAUGCACUUUUUAUAGGAAUGUCCUAAGUAUUACUUUUUUUAUUCCUCAAAGUACUUGUGUCUGUUCGUUUUAAGUUCUUUUUUUAGUGUGAUUUAGGACAUUUUUUUUUCUCAUGUAUCACAAAACAGGACUGUUCAGGCCAGUGACUACUACUUAAUGUCAUACAUAACACUCUGCUCUUAAAAGACUUGCACCCUUUCUUAUUUGAUUCAUUUCCUUCAUCUCUCCUUAAGUCACUGAGUUAGCGUACUGAACUUGUACCUGAAUCAGGUAUUUAGAUUUCGGCCUUGACUAUUAGCCAGGCUGAACGGAUCAAAGAAAAUCUGCAAUCUGAUUGGAUAGACUCAACCCCCCAGAACACCAACCUGUCCGAUCAGUUCAACAAAAAGCAUGCCUUCUUAUGCAAAUUUUUUAUAUAAGUUUUGUCAGACUUUUUUAAUAUGCAUUUAGUUUUGAGUUUAUUUUGUAAAGAUUUUUAUGUGAACUUUGUGUCACUUUCCUUUUCACAUGUCUGGCGAAGAUGAUGCCAAAACGAAACAGUAUACAUAUGUACAUCUCUUAAACACUUGCAGUGUUUUUUUGUUGUUGUUGUUGUUUUUGUUUAAAUUAUGAACAAUCUACACAUUCACAAUGGCAUCUGUAGAAAAUAGAAAAUUCAUGUACAGUUACAGAAGGGAAUUAUUUGCUGGCCACAUUUCUGGGCUCUUUGGAACAUGGAAAUGUGGCGUUUCUGCUGUGUAUGAAUCUCAUGGACCAUUAUUUUUCAUUCAAGUCUGCCUUUGCUAGCACACCAUGCUGAAUGUUAUUGUUAUCUUAGGGUGCUAGGUGGGGGUGGAGGUUACCAGUGGUUGUGAGAAGAUAUUUAAGGUCUUACAUGGCUUAUCUUGCAGAGUGCAUGUAAUGUUGUGGGUGGGGCCUUUAGAAGAAAGGGGAGGGAACUUCUGAAAGCCACGCAUUCAGAUUCUUAAGUCAGUAUACCCAAAGAGACUGCAAACAUUUUGCUGUUAGGAAGCCUUUUUAUAUGCAUUCGAGAUACAUAUCAUGGAACGGUUUUUUUUUCCCCCAUCACGAUUGAUUUCUGCUCUAGCUUAUGGCUCCGAUGUGUGUGAAACGCUUUCCGCCAGCUUUCUAAGUUGUCUGUAUGGCUUUGCAAUUUUGGUUUUAGAACUUUUAAAAGGCGAAAGUUUGCGGUGUACAUUUUAUGCAUAAAAUUUAAAAAUUUCAGACCCAUUCCAGCUGUUUAUCCUGUCACCUUGAUCUUAGUGUGUAGAUCAUCCAUAUUCAUUAUGGUGUGUUAUAAUUCCACAGUGACAAUGAAGUCAUUGUAGUUUCAGUGUAGUUUCUGUUCAUUUUUCAUACUAUUUACUGUCAUGAUUGUGGCCUUGUACUGUUGCUGCAUUUCAUUUGUUUUUGUGACUUUCCUAGUGUUGUGCACUGUCUGUGAGCAAGUGCAUUUGUUUGAGCAGGUGUGUGUGUGUGUGUGUGAGAGAGAGCGUUACCUCAUCUACAGUCAGUUGUCUAAUUGGAAAACAUUUUUGUUUACACGUGCAAAAAAGAAAAAUGUAAAAAAAAAAAAAUUCUAAAAAAAAAUCUUCCACUUGAUGAAACACAACAGGAUACAUUGUAGCGACACGAAUUAUUUAAAAAAAAAAAGUUCACCUGGUGUGCUGAACUAAGUGUAAAUGGUUUAUUACACAAUAUGAAUAUUUGUAAAAUUGUUUGUAUUUUUUCACAAUGAUUUUAAAAAGGAGUGUGUUUAUUUUUUGACUUUUUUUCUGUUACAGAGCUCUCUCUCUCUCUUUCUCUCUCUCUGGUCUUUUUUCUCCUCGUUUGUUCGCCUGACAUUGUGAGUGAGUCAGUUGGUUCUUACCUCUCCUGUAUUGAGCCUGUGAUGAGUCCUUUGUAUGCAGUGUUUUGAAAAUACUGUAGGGAACAUGGGAAGAAAUUGAUAUUAGGAGCAUUUGAUCAAUUUGUAUUUAUUUAUUUUAUCAUUUUGUUAAUAAAUUGACAAAGAAUAUUUGCCUCCCAUUUGUCUUGAAUUCAACUUGGCUUUAUAGAAU
ensembl:lncRNA